UCAAGGUUUUAUAAGGUGAGAUCCUUUUUAGCUUAGGUGCGUCCACAUUUCAUAUGGAGCCUCCUUGAACAAAAUAAUGACCCACAUUUCUUAAAAGCAUUCAUCAUAUGAACUUGAGUUAUACCUUAUAAAGCUUUUUACUUUUCUCUAUCAUUCUGAUGUGAAUUUCACAUAACGACUAUUUGUGUGGUAUCCUCAGAAGGUUAUCAACCUAAAAGACUUCUAGUCCUACUUAACUUAUUGUAAUCAGCCUGCAAUCCAGCGGGGGAAAAGCACAACAUAUUUUGUGUCAAAAUUCUUUGCAUCCAAACUUUAGCUAAUUGUAAAACAAAAAAUGAUUUCCACCUCAAAUUUGUCUCGAAAAGUCAUUUACUCACUUAAACUAUUGUCGCGACCUAAUAUACACCCACACUAUGUAAAAGUAAAUUUAUUUUCACCCCAAAACGUAAAGAACCAGUCACAUGAUGGAGAGUGAUUUACACCUGCACCCCAUAAUCACCAUGUUAUAACCACAUCAGAUAUUAUGUAAAUUUUUUUUUUUUAAAAAGUCUAUGUCACCCCUUGCUUCUUCUUCACCAAAAUUACAAUUAAAACACCACCAUUGCCACCAUUAUCAUCAAACUCAAAUCUUCAUCAUAAUAAUUUUAAGAAUCCACCAUGAAUUUCAUUACCGAAAUCACAACACAACUAUUGGUAUCACAAAAAUAAAAAAACAACCACCAUAAAAUUCAAGAUCCACUACUAAAAUUUCCAUUGAAAUCACAAUAUCACCAUUGUUAACAUCCGAAGUUACUACCACGAAUUCGCACCACCUCCACUACUAAAUUCUACAGCAAAAUUGAACCACCACCACUACUAAAUCUUACAUUAAAGUCACCAAAUUAAACAUUCAAUUUAUGAAAUUUGUCACAUACAAAUUCACUAUCAAGAAUAAUUAUUCGUGAUGAUAUUGGUAGUGGCAUUCGUGAUGAAAUUGAUAGUGAUAGGUGAAGAAAUUGGUAAUAGUGGUUGGUAAUGGGUUAAACGAUGAAGAUAUGGGGGAGAUGGUGAAAUUGAGUUAUAAAGUUGUUAUUUUUCAUGAUGAUAGCAGAAUUAAUAGGGUUUUGAUGGUUGUUUUUCAAUGAUAUUUUGAUUGGUGUAGAAAAAUUAGUGGUGGUGCG
rnacentral:lncRNA from 1 species